rnacentral:SRP_RNA from 14 species
GCCGUGGUGCGUGCCUGUCAUCCCAUUUACUGUGGAGGCUGCAGCAGGAGCAUGGGUUGAGCCCAGGAGUUUGAGCUGCAGUGAGCUGUGCCCAUCAGGUGUCUGCACUAAAUUCGGCAUCAAUAUGGUGACCUCCUGGGAGCAGGAAACCCCAGGUUGCUUAAGGAGGGUUGAGCUGGCCCAGGUUGACACCAGAGCAGGUUAAAACUCCUAUACCCAUCAAUAAAGGAGCAGAUUCUGAGAGGCUGCCACUCAUCAUCUGUAUGUUUUAAUGCUUAUG